UACGGAGGUCGCAAGCGUUGCUCGGAAUCACUGGGCGUAAAGCGGGUGUAGGCGGCUUCUUAAGUCGGGUGUGAAAUCCUCUGGCUCAACCAGAGAAUUGCGCCCGAAACUGAGAGGCUAGAGUGGGGCAGAGGGAGACGGAAUUCCCGGUGUAGCGGUGAAAUGCGUUGAUAUCGGGAGGAACACCAGUGGCGAAGGCGGUCUCCUGGGCCCUUACUGACGCUCAGACCCGAAAGCGUCGGGGAGCAAACCGG
rnacentral:rRNA from 1 species